CUUGAAUCCUUGUCGGAAGAAAACCUUAAUACAGAAACUUUUAAAGAAAUGGAGGAAAACAGUAAAUCACUAAACCCCAGAAGGAAUUCUGAUUAAAUUGUAUUGGUUCUGGAGUCAUUAGGUUAAACGUUCAGACUACAUAGGCAAGUUACCGGUGUUGAUUAUUGUUGAAAAAAAAUCUCUGGUAAAAUAAAGGUAACAUUUAUUAAUAGGUCUAGAUCAUAUUAGCACUUUUAUAAAUCUUCUCUCUGUGCAGUGGAAGGCUCCGGUGUUUUCUUCAAUGCCCGCACCAACCUUCUUAAACCCCGGAAGGAGGCAGAGAGAGGAAGAUGGUCAAGCCCUGAGGGAGCGGGACAAGUCCUCGCUGGCCCCUGAGGGCCCCUCCGGCUCGCCGAAAGUCCCAGACAUGACCCUCAGCCCACGGAGACCCCGUGCUCAGCCUGCUGCCUCCAGCAGCUCUUCCUCCAGCAACAGUCACACUGCUGCAGCCUGCCUCAACCACUGCCACAACAGCAGCUCUGGGUUAGUACUAACAGCUAGCCACCUGACCAAUCAGUUAGCAGGCUACAUAAGCUAGCCGCUGGUCAAUAGCAGUGUAUUGACCGCCACUA
rnacentral:lncRNA from 1 species